GACGAACGCUGGCGGCGUGCUUAACACAUGCAAGUCGAACGGAAAGGCCCUGCUUUUGUGGGGUGCUCGAGUGGCGAACGGGUGAGUAACACGUGAGUAACCUGCCCUUGACUUUGGGAUAACUUCAGGAAACUGGGGCUAAUACCUGAUAGGAGCUCCUGCUGCAUGGUGGGGGUUGGACAGUUUCGGCGGUUGGGGAUGGACUCGCGGCUUAUCAGCUUGUUGGUGGGGUAGUGGCUUACCAAGGCUUUGACGGGUAGCCGGCCUGAGAGGGUGACCGGCCACAUUGGGACUGAGAUACGGCCCAGACUCCUACGGGAGGCAGCAGUGGGGAAUAUUGCACAAUGGGCGGAAGCCUGAUGCAGCAACGCCGCGUGCGGGAUGACGGCCUUCGGGUUGUAAACCGCUUUCGCCUGUGACGAAGCGUGAGUGACGGUAAUGGGUAAAGAAGCACCGGCUAACUACGUG
rnacentral:rRNA from 1 species